rnacentral:rRNA from 1 species
UCGUUAGCAUGCGAGUCGAGAGGUGUAAGACCUCGGCAUACUGCUCAGUAACACGUGGACAACCUAACCUGAAGAGGGGGAUAACCCCGGGAAACUGGGGAUAAUACCCCAUAGAUUAUGGAUGCUGGAAUGCUCUGUAGUUGAAAGGUCCGCCGCUUCAGGAUGGGUCUGCGGCCGAUUAGGUUGUUGUUGGGGUAACGGCCCAACAAGCCUGUAAUCGGUACGGGUUGUGGGAGCAAGAGCCCGGAGAUGGAUUCUGAGACACGAAUCCAGGCCCUACGGGGCGCAGCGGGCGCGAAAACUUUACAAUGCGAGCAAUCGUGAUAGGGGACCUCCGAGUGCCUGUAAAAUCAGGCUGUCCGCCAUUGUAAAUAACUGGUGAAG